UGCAGUCGAGCGGAUGANGAAGAAGCUUGCUUCUUCUGAUUUUAGCGNNNNNNGGGUGAGUAACACGUGGGCAACCUACCUUGUAGAUUGGGAUAACUCCGGGAAACCGGGGCUAAUACCGAAUAAUCCAUUUUGCUUCAUGGCGAAAUGUUAAAAGGCGGCUUCGGCUGUCACUGCAAGAUGGGCCCGCGGCGCAUUAGCUAGUUGGUAAGGUAACGGCUUACCAAGGCGACGAUGCGUAGCCGACCUGAGAGGGUGAUCGGCCACACUGGGACUGAGACACGGCCCAGACUCCUACGGGAGGCAGCAGUAGGGAAUCUUCCACAAUGGACGAAAGUCUGAUGGAGCAACGCCGCGUGAGUGAAGAAGGUUUUCGGAUCGUAAAACUCUGUUGUAAGGGAAGAACACGUACGAGAGUAACUGCUCGUACCUUGACGGUACCUUAUUAGAAAGCCACGGCUAACUACGUGCCAGCAGCCGCGGUAAUACGUAGGUGGCAAGCGUUGUCCGGAAUUAUUGGGCGUAAAGCGCGCGCAGGCGGUCCUUUAAGUCUGAUGUGAAAGCCCACGGCUCNACCGUGGNGGGUCAUUGGNAAACUGGGGGACUUGAGUACAGAANANGAAAGCGGAAUUCCNAGUGUAGCGGCGAAAUG
rnacentral:rRNA from 1 species